UAAUUGAUUAAUACAAUUUUUUGUAGAUGAAUUACCUUCAUAAUUGUAUCUUAAUGAUUGUACCUUAAUUCUCAUCCACAUAUCUAUAAUACCGGACAAAAUGAUGACAAACAGCCUCCACGAUCGGCCCCACUCAAUAAGCAGCCGACCUGCUUAAAUGAAAUCUUCGACCUACCUUGGACUGUGAAAAAACUUACAAUUUUGGAAAUGUUUGCUUCUGGUCUGUCAGGUGCUAGGACCUCAGUAAGCAGCAGUGCUAUUUUUCGAAAAGGACUCCCUGGCUAAUGCUGAAAUGUCGCCAAGCGCUGCGUUGUAUAAAAACCGCUGUCGCUAAGCAAAACAAGUAAUCUACACUGGAGGAAAACUGCAGAUACACUUUUGACACAUAUCGUAGCGGAAUACGCUAUCAAUGUAGUGAUCAUCAGUGAGAAAUACAAGCGAAAAGAAACCAGAGUGGUUAGAGGACGAAAGAUGGCAACAACUAUAGGAAGAGCGUGCAGCGUUUCGAAACGAAAAACGCUUAGUAAACACGGAGGUAGAGGACAGGCGUACUUGUGGAACUACGAUACGAUGCCCAGAGUGUAAAAAAGCACUAAAAAGAGCACGACGCUCUGCAAAAUUUCACGACGAAAGCGGGGCAGAUACUGAAGGUGAUAGAACCAGGACGGCUUAUUUUUCUACUCUAAAAGAAAGGUUAUUCCCAGAAGCAUGGAAAGAGCAGACUCUGGUGCUCAUUAGGAAACUCAAAGGCGGUCCCAACACACCUUCGAGUUACCGCCCAUUCUGUAUGCUGAACACAGCUGGCAAGCUGUUAGAAAAGGUCCUAAAACCCAGACUAGUCGCUGCAGUAGAAACCGCUUAGUCCCAGACAACACGGUUUCAGAGCUGGAAAAUCCACAAUGGGAGCUAUCGAUGAAGUGGUUCCGGCAACCAGAGCUAGGCAAAGAGGAAUAACAUACUCGCGCCCGAUGGGUAGCGAUAUAUGGACGCACAUCUUAAAUGCAGAAGUAAUAAGGUGAAACCCCAUGUUAUCUGUGCAGAGAAAAGAAGCCUUAAGGAUAACAUCGGCGUACCGCAUAGUCUUUGGAGCUGCCGUGACCGUGAUAGCAGGAGUCAUACUGGUUGACUUGCUUGCCCAAAAGCGCAAGAAAAUAUGGAUUCUCCGGCAAAGUGGAGAAUUCUCGGAACAUACGGCAAAGAGCAUACAACAGAAAACCAUAGCCUCUUGGAAGUCUAGAUGAUCAUGCAAAUGAUAUGGAAGAUGGACUGCAAAAGUUAUCCCCGAUCUAGAGCAGUAGAUAUAUAGAAAGCAGAUGAAAAGUCUUUCUAUUGAGUACCUAAAUAAGAUGGGAAAACUGCUGAGUCUAACUGUAUUUACUGCGAAAAAGCAAUGGUCACGCAGAACACAGUUUCUUGAACUGCAAAAGGUAGUAUGAAGAUAGUAUCGACUUGACAAAAACUGUCGGUGAAGUCAAAGCAUAGAUACUUGCAAAGAAAGAUUUGUAUCUUCCAAAAUGUAUAAUGUUGUGAUGACUCAAUUUUUAAAGCAGAUAUAUUUCUAGGGAUUGACGUGGCAAAUGCGAAAAUGCAUUUUCAGAUACCACCUAAGAUCAGAGAGCUAUGGCGGAUAUAUUUACGCGCAUAAGGGGCGUGGCAAAUCGGCUAGAACAUUGAAAUUUUUCACAUGACCUAAUGUUACGAUUAUAUAAAGAUUGAUGAUAAA